UACGUAGGGUGCAAGCGUUAAUCGGAAUUACUGGGCGUAAAGCGCACGUAGGUGGCUUGGCAAGUCGGGUGUGAAAUCCCCGGGCUCAACCUGGGAACUGCAUUCGGGACUGCCUUGCUCGAGUAUGGGAGAGGGAAGUGGAAUUUCCGGUGUAGCGGUGAAAUGCGUAGAUAUCGGGAGGAACAUCAGUGGCGAAGGCGGCUACCUGGCCCAAUACUGACACUCAGGUGCGACAGCGUGGGGAGCAAACAGG
rnacentral:rRNA from 1 species